GGCGGGCUGAGUCCAAAAAGAGAGUCAACAAGUGUGGUGGGAUAAUCAUUAGCUACCAUAGGUUUUGGGAGAGGUGGUGGAGUUAGGAGCUAUGUUUUGCGGACAGGGGUGGAUCUCACAAAGUACAUUCUCGAGGGUGGGAAGAAUUACAAAGAACCUUCUUUAGGGUGGGGGAGAUUACAAAGAAUCUUCUUAAGGGUGGGAGAAAUUACAAAGUACAUUGAUCAGUUAGAGUGGGGCAGAAACAAAUCACAAUGCUGGAAUGUCAUCAGUUAAGGCUAUUUUCACUUCUUUUGUGGAUCUUCAGUUGCUUCAGGCCAUCUGGAUGUAUACAUGCAGGUCACAGGGGAUAUGAUGGCUUAGCUUGGGCUUAGAGGCCUGACAAUCCUGUCUUCUUAUAUUAAUAAGAAAAGCAAAACAAAAUAGUGAAGUGUUGGAGCAGCGAAAAGUUUUGUGGGUGGUAAGAAGAGAUAAUGGGCGAUGUUUCUCAGGGCUGCUUCAAGUGGCAUUAGGGGUGGCGUGGGAACCUACAGUGGGAGAGAUUCAACUGAAGAAUGAUUUUGGGGUAAGGGGUGAUAUUGUGGGGUUGUUAGAAGGAACAUGUGUUGUAUAGAAUUAUUGGUGAUGGCCUGGAUGUGGUUUUGUAUGAGUUGAGAAACUAAACGAAAGACACAGGGUCCAAAUAAGAGAAGGAGAAAAACAGGUAUUAAAGGACUAAGAAUUGGGAGUACCCAGGAUAUCCAAUUACAGAGUGUCCAAGGAGGUUCAGCAUAAUUAUUUGCUUGGUUGGCAAGUUUUUGGGCUCUAUCCUUGAUUUUUUUUUAUGUUGUCAUAUACCAGGCCAGAUUGAUUUAGAUAAAAUCAACACUCUUCAUUUAAAAAUAUACAGAGUCCCGUUUUUUUGUUGUUGUUGUUGUUUUUUUUUUUUUUUUUUUUUUUUAGCAGUGAGUAAGUCAGGGCCUCAGUGAUUUUGGAGGAAAGAGAAAUACAAAGCCAGCAAUUGUUUGUUAAAGAAGGAUUAGAAACGGCCAGGAGAGAGUGAGUUUGAUAGCGUGGUGGAGAUAGCUGGGGAGAGGUAGAGGGUGGCAUAAGAACGGGAACCAGAAUAAGAGUGAGUAUAAAAGGGAAGAAUAGGAUUUCAUCAGGGUGAAAGUUCUGGAGGGUACCUUGCCACUGAAGAUCUAUCCACUUCAAGAGAGACUUAAAAAUGGCGAUUUGAGGUAAAACCAGGAGCCACUAAAUACCAAGAGCCUGAGAAAUGGCUUGGGUGAUUUGACUAAUAAAGGCCAGUCUGUUAUUGGACUGUAUAGAGGUGGGAGGAUGGUAAGGGGUAUGAAGCUUUCACUGAAUACCAAGAGCCUGAGAAACUGCUUGGGUGAUUUGACUAGUAAAGGCCAGUCCGUUAUCAGACUGUAUAAAGGUGGGAAGGCCAAACAGAGGAAUUAUGUCUGACAGAAGGGAAGAAAUGACCAUGGUGGCCUUCUCAGACCCUGUGGGAAAGGCCUUUCUUUACCCAUCCAGUGGAAGUGUCUAUCCAGACCAAGAGGUAUUUUAGUUUCCUGACUCAAGCUGUGUGAGUAAAGUCAAUUUGCCAGUCCUGGGUGGGGGCAAAUCCCUGAGCUUGAUGUGUAGGGAAGGGAAGGGGCCUGAACACUCCCUGAGGAGUAGCAGAAUAGCAGAUGGAACACUGAGAAGUGAUUUCCUUCAGGAUAGAUUUCCAUGAUGGAAAGGAAAUAAGAGGUUCUAAGAGACGGGCUAGCAGCUUAUAACCUACAUGGAAGAGGUUAUGAAAUGAUGACAGAAUAGAAUGGGCCUGUAAGGCUGGAAGGAGAUAUUUUUCUUAGUCCAGUAACCUUUUGCCUUGUGUGGGAAGAGAUUGAUAGGUGGAAGUUUCAGUGGGGGAGUAAGUGGGAGUGACCAGAUGAGAAGGAGAAAAACUGGCCGUGAGGGGCAGAAGUUGGAAUGCUAGCUGCUUCUUUAGCUACCUUAUCAGCAUAAGCAUUGCCUUGACUGAUGGGAUCUGAUACCUUUUGAUGGCCCUUGCAGUGAAUGACUCCAGUUUCCUUUGGAGGUAAAGCGGCCUUGAGAAGAGUUUUUAUUAAAGAGGCGUUAAUGAUGGAGGACCCUUGCAUAGUGAGGAAACCUCUUUCAGCCCAUGUAACAGCAUGGUGGUGCAGGAUAUGGAAGGCAUAUUUAGAGUCAGUAUAAAUAUUGACACGUAAUUCCUUUGCAAGAGUGAGGGCUUGAGUUAAGGCAAUGAUUUUGGCUUGCUGAGAAGUAGUGGAGUGGGGCAGAGUGGUAGCCUCAAUGAUAGAUGUGGAAGAUACUAUAGCAUAGCCUGCCUUUGCUGGUGUGUGGUGAUUAGGCCUGGUGGAACUGCCAUCAAUAAACCAGGUAUGAUCAGUGUGAGGAACAGGAAAGAAGGAAAUAUGGGGAAAUGGACAGAAUGCCAAGUGUAUCAGAGAGAUACAGUCAUGGGGUUCAGGUGUGGUAUCAGGAAUAAUGUGGGAGGCUGGAUUGAAGUCCGGGCCAGGAACAAUGGUAACUGUGGAAGACUCAACAAAGAGUGGGUACAGCUGAAGGAGCUGGGGGGCAGAAAAUAUAUGUGUCAAGUGUGAGGAGGAAAAUAGAUUUUGGAAGUUAUGAGAACUGUAGAGAGUAAGUGGAGCAUAGCUUGUGAUUUUGAGGGCCUCUAAAAGUAUUAAAGCAGCUGCAGCUGCUGCAAGCAGACAUGAAGGGUAGGCUAAAACAGUAAGGUCAAGUUGUUCAGAUAAAAAGGCUACAGGGUGCAGUCCCGGCUCUUGUGUAAGAAUUCUGACCUCACAGCCCUGCACUUUGGCUGUGUGUAAUGAAAAAGGGUUGGGAUGAGUUAGGGAGAGCUAGUGUGGGGGCAGCUUCUAGGGCUGUUUUUAAGGAACGGGAAGGAGUGGCAAAAUGAUUUAGGAUCUGUGGGGUCAGCUAGGUUUGCUUUUGUGAGUUUAUAUAAUGGUUUAGUCAGGAUGGUAAAACUAGGUAUCCAAAGGCUGAAAUACCUAACUAUGCCUAAGAAAGAAAGGAGUUGUUGUUUUGUAGAAGGGAUUGGGGCUUGGGAAAUUAGCCAGACACAAUCAGCAGGGAGAGCAUGUGUGUUUUCAUGAGAAUUAUGCUGAGAUAGGUAACAGAUGAGGAAGAAAUUUGGGCUUGACUGAAGUAAUGGGGGCUGUCUGUGAAGCCCUGCGGCAGUACAGCCCAGGUAAUCUGCUGAGCCUGAUGGGCGUCAGGGUCAGUCCAAGUGAAAGCAAAGAGAGGCUGGGAUGAAGGGUGCAAAGGAAUAGUAAAGAAAGCAUGUUUGAGACCCAGAACAGAAUAAUAGGUUGUAGAAAGAGAUAUUGAGGACAGGAGAGUAUAUGGGUUUGGCACCAUGGGGUGGAAAGGCAAGACAAUUUGGUUGAUAAGGUGCAGAUCCUGAACUAACCUGUAAGACUUGUCCGGAUUUUGGACAGGUAAAAUGGGGAAAUUGCAAGGAGAGUUUAUACCCUUUAAAAGGCCAUGCUGUAACAGGCAAGUGAUAACAGACUUUAAUCCUUUUAAAGCCUGCUGUGGGUUGGGAUAUUGGCAUUGAGUGGGGUAAGGGUGAUAAGGUUUUAAUGGGAUAGUAAUGAGCAUGUGAUUGAUUACCAGGGAGGGAGUAGAGGUGUCCCAUACCUGUGGAUUAAGGUGGGGAGAUACAAGGAGAGGAUGUGAAGGAGGCUAUGAACUGGGUUUGAAAAGGAUGCAAUGAGGUGUGGCUGUAGCCCAGGAAUAGUCAGGGAAGCAGAUAAUUUAGUUAAAAUGUCUCAACCUAAUAAGGGAACUGGGCAAGUGGGGAUAACUAAAAAGGAGUGUAUAAAAGAAUAUUGUCCAAACUGGCACCAGAGUUGGGGAGUUUUAAGAGGUUUAGAAGCCUGGCCAUCAAUACCCACAACAGUUACGCAGGCAAGGGAAACAGGCCCUUUAAAAGAAGGUAAUGUGGAACGGGUAGCCUCCAUAUUGAUUAAGAAGGGGACGGGCUUACCCUCCACUGUGAGAGUUACCCGAAGCUUGGCGGCCGUGAUGGUCUAGGGGGCUUCCGAGGCAAUCAGGCAGCGUCAGUCUUCAGCUGCUAAGCUGAGAAGAUCUGGGAAGGAGUCAGUCAGAGAGCCUUGGACCAGAGUUCCAGGGGCUCUGGGAGUGCCUUCCAGGAGACGGGCAAACACAGAAGGUGGAAUGGGGCAAAAGAUGCUGAGUAAAGGACCUUGACCAAAGCUAAAGAGCAAAAUAAAAGUAGAGCUGGAUUCUGACCCCAAGCAGUUUAGUUCCACGUGUGCCUCCCACCAAGAAAUAGGUAUAUUUCCUUUAAGUGAACCUUCAAUACUACCAACAUGGUAAUAAUACGUCAUCUUUUAAUCUCACUGGCAAGCAUAUGUUUUUAUAUUUUCAUUUCUCUGUAUAUACACCAGAACUCCUUCUCUAUAGUCCUAAUUAUGCAUCAUUUAAUAUAAAAAAUAAUUUUCUGUUAUCUUUGAACACAAAAUGGCUAUUGUUGUGUAAAUUUUAUUUACUGAUGGACGUGUUUAAACUGGUAAUUUCAGAGACUUUAGAUUAAAAUAGACAGUCUCUAUAUAAUUGAAUUUGUGCUAUAAAUCUUCCCUUAUCUUGACACGUUUAAGAAACUAUUGGUUUUCUUUUAGCUGUCUUUUUUGAACUUCUUUGGAAAAAAAUAUUGCUCAUCAUAUUAUAGCUCCUGGUGAUUUUUCUUGAGAACAUGUAGUUUAUAAUAAGAUAACACAAAACUCUUAGGAGGAUUUAUGAAUUUUGUUUCCCAUGAUUGCUUAGCCAUAUACAUUUAUGAGGUACCAAUAACCAGGAGCAGUUUUCAGAACUUAAGAAGUAAACAAUUGUUUUAGAAUUUAGGUUUAAUGAUACAAUUAAUUUUUCCUUUUUAAUUUUUAGUUGACAUGUAAUUAUGGUACAUAUUUAUAAAAUAUAGAGUAAUAUUUUCAUACAUGUAUACAAUGUGAAAUAAUAAAAUUAUAAUAAUUAGCAUUUCUAUUACCUCAAAUAUAUAUUAUUUAUUUGUGUUAUGAACAUUCAAUAUACUCUAUUCUAGCUUUUUGAAGAUAUAAAAUAAAUUAUAUGUAACCAUGUGUACCCUGCAGUGCUGCAGAUCACUAGAGCUCAUUUCUCCUAUCUAGCUAUAAUUUCUGUCUGUUAAUCAACUUCUCCAUAUCCUCCCUUCUCCUGAUUAUCCCCCUUCCAUAACUUUCCUCAGGCUUUUUUAGCUCAUACAUAUGAGUGAGAACAUGUAGCUUUUAUUUUUCUGUGCCUAACCUAUUGUAAAUAAAAAUACCCUCCAGGUUUAUCUAUGUUGUCAUGAAUAAUGGUAUUUCAUUAUUUUUUAUGGCUGAAUAAUAUUCCCUUGA
rnacentral:lncRNA from 10 species